UACGAAGGGGGCUAGCGUUGCUCGGAAUCACUGGGCGUAAAGCGCACGUAGGCGGACUCUUAAGUCAGGGGUGAAAUCCUGGAGCUCAACUCCAGAACUGCCUUUGAUACCGGGAGUCUUGAGUUCGGGAGAGGUGAGUGGAAUUGCGAGUGUAGAGGUGAAAUUCGUAGAUAUUCGCAAGAACACCAGUGGCGAAGGCGGGUCUCUGGGCCGAAACUGACGCUGAGGAGCGAAAGCGUGGGGAGCAAACAGG
rnacentral:rRNA from 1 species